rnacentral:rRNA from 1 species
UUGGUUAAGUUAGAAAGGGCGCACGGUGGAUGCCUUGGCACUAGGAGCCGAAGAAGGACGGGACUAACACCGAUAUGCUUUGGGGAGCUGUACGUAAGCGUUGAUCCAGAGAUUUCCGAAUGGGGGAACCCACUAUCUUUAGUCGGAUAGUAUCCUUACGUGAAUACAUAGCGUGAGGAAGGCAGACCCAGGGAACUGAAACAUCUAAGUACCUGGAGGAAGAGAAAGAAAAAUCGAUUUCCUGAGUAGCGGCGAGCGAAACGGAAAGAGCCCAAACCAAGAAGCUUGCUUCUUGGGGUUGUAGGACACUCUAUACGGAGUUACAAAAGAAAGUUAUAAAUGAAGCGGUCUGGAAAGGCCCGCCAAAGACGGUAACAGCCCGGUAGUUGAAAUGGCUUUCCCUCCAGAGUGGAUCCUGAGUACGGCGGAACACGUGAAAUUCCGUCGGAAUCCGGGAGGACCAUCUCCCAAGGCUAAAUACUCCCUAGUGACCGAUAGUGAACCAGUACCGUGAGGGAAAGGUGAAAAGCACCCCGGAAGGGGAGUGAAACAGUUCCUGAAACCGUGUGCCUACAAGUAGUUAGAGCCCGUUAAUGGGUGAUAGCGUGCCUUUUGUAGAAUGAACCGGCGAGUUACGAUUUGUUGCAAGGUUAAGCGGAAAAAGCGGAGCCGUAGCGAAAGCGAGUCUGAAUAGGGCGCAUAAGUAACAGGUCGUAGACCCGAAACCAGGUGAUCUACCCAUGUCCAGGAUGAAGGUAAGGUAAUACUUACUGGAGGUCCGAACCCACGCACGUUGAAAAGUGCGGGGAUGAGGUGUGGGUAGCGGAGAAAUUCCAAUCGAACUUGGAGAUAGCUGGUUCUCUCCGAAAUAGCUUUAGGGCUAGCCUCGAGGUAAAGAGUCAUGGAGGUAGAGCACUGUUUGGACUAGGGGCCCUUCUCGGGUUACCGAAUUCAGAUAAACUCCGAAUGCCAUGUAC